rnacentral:lncRNA from 1 species
GAGCUGUGGCAGAAUUCAAACACAAGGCCAACAACUGCACCAGGGGGAUCUCAAAUGCAUGACUGGAACCAGCCAGGACUCAGUAUUUUCUGAAGGAAAGUUUCUUCGAGAAGUUUAGCUUCUGAAAGUGAAAGCUCAGAGAGGAAGGAGAAGGAAAAGAACUCUGCCAGACUUGGGGACUUUAUUACAUAGAUAAAUGGGCAGUAUAUCAAAGAAGACAUAUAGUAGCUUAUUUCAGCUGGACAAUUGAAAUAUUUAGAUUCAGGUAAGCCUAAAAGAAAUAUGUUUUCUUUUUUCCCUUCUGAUUGAAACAGAGAAGCAAAAAAGAAUCAAAAAAAUUCCUG